AGUGAGCGCUGGCGGUAGGCCUAACACAUGCAAGUCGAACGGCAGCACAGUAAGAGCUUGCUCUUACGGGUGGCGAGUGGCGGACGGGUGAGGAAUACAUCGGAAUCUACUUUUUCGUGGGGGAUAACGUAGGGAAACUUACGCUAAUACCGCAUACGACCUACGGGUGAAAGCAGGGGAUCUUCGGACCUUGCGCGAUUGAAUGAGCCGAGGUCGGAUUAGCUAGUUGGCGGGGUAAAGGCCCACCAAGGCGACGAUCCGUAGCUGGUCUGAGAGGAUGAUCAGCCACACUGGAACUGAGACACGGUCCAGACUCCUACGGGAGGCAGCAGUGGGGAAUAUUGGACAAUGGGCGCAAGCCUGAUCCAGCCAUACCGCGUGGGUGAAGAAGGCCUUCGGGUUGUAAAGCCCUUUUGUUGGGAAAGAAAAGCAGCAGGUUAAUACCCCGCUGUUCUGACGGUACCCAAAGAAUAAGCACCGGCUAACUUCGUG
rnacentral:rRNA from 1 species